GAUGAACGCUGGCGGCGUGCCUCAAACAUGCAAGUCGAGCGGGGCUAUGUAAUAUCGCAAGGUAGAACAUAGCCUAGCGGCGAACGGGUGAGUAACACGUGGGUAACCUGCCUGGAAGACAGGGAUAACGAUUCGAAAGGGUCGCUAAUACCUGAUAAUAUCCUUUCAUCGCAUGGUGAUAGGAAGAAAGGGGAAACCCGCUUUCAGAUGGGCCCGCGUCCCAUCAGCUAGUUGGUAAGGUAAAGGCUUACCAAGGCGACGACGGGUAGCCGGUCUGAGAGGAUGUACGGCCACACUGGGACUGAGAUACGGCCCAGACUCCUACGGGAGGCAGCAGUUGGGAAUCUUAGGCAAUGGACGAAAGUCUGACCUAGCGACGCCGCGUGAGGGAAGAAGGCCUUCGGGUUGUAAACCUCUGUCAUGGGGGGAAGAAGUAAGUGACGGUACCCCAAGAGGAAGCCCCUGCUAACUACGUG
rnacentral:rRNA from 1 species